UACGAAGGGGGCGAGCGUUGUUCGGAUUUACUGGGCGUAAAGGGCGUGCAGGCGGCUCAUUUUGUCAGGCGUGAAAGCCCCGGGCUUAACCUGGGAACUGCGUUUGAUACGGAUGGGCUAGAGUUCGGGAGAGGAGAGUGGAAUUCCCAGUGUAGAGGUGAAAUUCGUAGAUAUUGGGAAGAACACCGGUGGCGAAGGCGGCUCUCUGGACCGAUACUGACGCUGAGGCGCGAAAGCGUGGGGAGCAAACAGG
rnacentral:rRNA from 1 species